AAUGAACGUUGGCGGCGUGGAUUAGGCAUGCAAGUCGCGCGAGAAACGUAGCAAUACGUGGAAAGCGGCGUAAGGGAGAGUAAUGCAUGGUUAGCUACCCCCGGGACUGGGAUAGCGGCGGGAAACUGCCGGUAAUACCAGAUGAUGUCUUCGGACCAAACGUGUAAAUCGGCCCGGGGAGGUGACCAUGUCCUAUCAGCUUGUUGGCGGGGUAACGGCCCACCAAGGCAAAGACGGGUAUGGGGCGUGAGAGCGUGCCCCCACUCACUGGGACUGAGACACUGCCCAGACACCUACGGGUGGCUGCAGUCGAGAAUCUUCGGCAAUGGGCGCAAGCCUGACCGAGCGACGCCGCGUGCGGGAUGAAGGCCUUCGGGUUGUAAACCGCUGUCGUAGGGGAGGAAGGUCUGGUGUAUAGCCAGGCUUGACCGAUCCUAGGAGGAAGGGCCGGCUAAUCUCGUGCCAGCCGCCGCAGUAAAAC
rnacentral:rRNA from 1 species